rnacentral:rRNA from 1 species
UACAGAGGGUGCUAGCGUUAAUCGGAUUUACUGGGCGUAAAGCGUGCGUAGGCGGUUGGGCAAGUCGGAUGUGAAAGCCCUGGGCUUAACCUGGGAAUGCCAUUCGAUACUGCUCAACUCGAGUUCGGUAGAGGGCGGUGGAACUCCAGGUGUAGCGGUGAAAUGCGUAGAUAUCUGGAAGAACACCAAUGGCGAAGGCAACCGCCUGGGCCUGAACUGACGCUGAGGCACGAAAGCGUGGGGAGCAAACAGG